GAUGAACGCUGGCGGCGUGCCUAAUACAUGCAAGUCGAGCGAACGGACGAGAAGCUUGCUUCUCUGAUGUUAGCGGCGGACGGGUGAGUAACACGUGGAUAACCUACCUAUAAGACUGGGAUAACUUCGGGAAACCGUAGCUAAUACCGGAUAAUAUUUUGAACCGCAUGGUUCAAAAGUGAAAGACGGUCUUGCUGUCACUUAUAGAUGGAUCCGCGCUGCAUUAGCUAGUUGGUAAGGUAACGGCUUACCAAGGCAACGAUGCAUAGCCGACCUGAGAGGAUGAUCUGCCACACGGGAACUGAGACACGGUCCAGACUCCUACGAGAGGCAGCAGUAGGGGAUCUUCCGCAAUGGGCGGAAGCCUGGCGGAGCAACGCCGCGUGAGUGGUGAAGGUCUUCGGAUCGUAAAGCUCUGUUAUCAGGGAAGAACAUAUGUGUAAGUAACUGUGCACAUCUUGACGGUACCUAAUCGGAAAGCCCCGGCUAACUACGUG
rnacentral:rRNA from 1 species